rnacentral:rRNA from 1 species
UACGUAGGGUGCGAGCGUUGUCCGGAAUUAUUGGGCGUAAAGGGCUCGUAGGCGGUCUGUUACGUCGGGAGUGAAAACUCGGGGCUCAACCCCGAGCCUGCUUCCGAUACGGGCAGACUAGAGGUAUGCAGGGGAGAAUGGAAUUCCUGGUGUAGCGGUGAAAUGCGCAGAUAUCAGGAGGAACGCCGGAGGCGAAAGCGAGUGACUGGCGCGUUCCUGACGCUGAGGUGCGAAAGCUAGGGGAGCAAACAGG